AGAUUGAUGAGAAUGUUAAGAGGGAAACCAUAAAUCACAGAUCCUUGAGGCAUCCAAAUAUUGUCAGGUUCAAAGAGGUCUUGUUGACUCCAAGUCAUUUAGCUACUGUCAUGUAAUAUGCAGCUGGUGGUGAGCUAUUUGAGAGGAUAUAUAGUACUGGUAGAUUUAGUGAAGCAGAGGUUAGUUCCUCGGUUUACAUGUUAGAUAAAAUCAUGACUUCCAUGUCAGCUAUUCUGAGAAUUCUUUUUGUAUCAUCCAAAACAAUGCAAAGCUGUCAGAUUUUGGCUUGGCCAAGGAUGGGCCAACAGGUGAUAAAAGCCAUGUCUCUACUAGGGUGAUGGACACAUAUAGAUAUGCAGCCCCAAAAUAUCUAGCCACAGUGGGCAGCAAAGACUCGGAAAGUAUACACCCAAGAGGAACUUGACUAGGUCCGCAUUGAAGUAGCUGACUAUUUGCAGACUUUGCUAUAGAUGCUGACUCUACCAAAGUGAUUUUGAGUACGGCUAGCUAGAUUUUGUAGAAUCAUUUUGAAGUGGAACGUUGUACAGUUGCCGGUGAACUAAACUGCAUAUAGUUAUUGCAAUUGUCUGUUUUGGGCUAGCCAUGAUGUAGGUUGGGGUUUUUUGCCUAUUUUUGGAACUAUUAACAGGCUUAU